CCUACGGGUGGCUGCAGUGAGGAAUAUUGGUCAAUGGGCGAGAGCCUGAACCAGCCAAGUCGCGUGAGGGAUGAAGGAUCUAUGGAUUGUAAACUUCUUUUGUAAGGGAAUAAAGUGAGGAACGUGUUCCUUUUUGUAUGUACCAUAUGAAUAAGCAUCGGCUAACUCCGUGCCAGCAGCCGCGGUAAUACGGAGGAUGCGAGCGUUGUCCGGAUUUAUUGGGUUUAAAGGGGGCGUAGGUGGCUCUUUAAGUCAGCUGGGAAAGUUUGGGGCUCAACCAUAAGAGUGCCGUUGAGACUGGGUGACGUGAGUACAGUUGAGGUAGGCGGAAUGCGUGGUGUAGCGGUGAAAUGCAUAGAUAUCACGCAGAACUCCGAUGGCGAAGGCAGCGUACUAAACUGUAACUGACACUGAGGCACGAAAGCGUGGGGAUCAAACAGGAUUAGAUACCCUUGUAGUC
rnacentral:rRNA from 1 species